GCACAUUUAUCUAGUUUAAACCUUUAAACUAACAUUGUGAUAUGCUUGAACUGUUGUAUGUAUAGGUUUUAUUUUAGGCGAGUCAAUGAUUUGAGAAG